GGAGGGAUGGCCGAGUGGACGAAGGCGGCGGCCUGGAGAGCCGUUAUCCCCUUAACUGGGGAUCGUGGGUUCAAAUCCCACUCCCUCCG
rnacentral:tRNA from 1 species